rnacentral:rRNA from 1 species
GACGAACGCUGGCGGCGUGCUUAACACAUGCAAGUCGAGCGGAAAGGCCACUUCGGUGGUACUCGAGCGGCGAACGGGUGAGUAACACGUGAGUAAUCUGCCCCUGGCUUUGGGAUAGCCACCGGAAACGGUGAUUAAUACCGGAUACGACCACUUCUCGCAUGGGAUGGUGGUGGAAAGUUUUUUCGGCCAGGGAUGUGCUCGCGGCCUAUCAGCUUGAUGGUGAGGUAAUGGCUCACCAUGGCUUCGACGGGUAGCCGGCCUGAGAGGGUGACCGGUCACACUGGGACUGAGAAACGGCCAGACUCCUACGGGAGGCAGCAGUGGGGAAUAUUGGACAAUGGGCGGAAGCCUGAUCCAGCAACGCCGCGUGAGGGAUGACGGCCUUCGGGUUGUAAACCUCUUUCAGCAGGGACGAAGCGCAAGUGACGGUACCUGCAGAAGAAGCACCGGCCAACUACGUGCCAGCCGCCGCAGUAA